rnacentral:rRNA from 1 species
GAUGAACGCUGGCGGCGUGCCUAAUACAUGCAAGUAGAACGCUGAAGGAGGAGCUUGCUCUUCUGGAUGAGUUGCGAACGGGUGAGUAACGCGUAGGUAACCUGCCUGGUAGCGGGGGAUAACUAUUGGAAACGAUAGCUAAUACCGCAUGACAACAGUUAUUGCAUGAUAACUGUUUAAAAGGGGCAACUGCUCCACUACCAGAUGGACCUGCGUUGUAUUAGCUAGUUGGUGAGUUAACGGCUCACCAAGGCGACGAUACAUAGCCGACCUGAGAGGGGGAUCUGCCACACUGGGACUGAGACACGGCCCUGACUCCUACGGGAGGCAGCAGUAGGGAAUCUUCGGCAAUGGACGGAAGUCUGACCGGGCAACGCCGCGUGAGUGAAGAAGGUUUUCGGAUCGUGAAGCUCUGUUGUAAGAGAAGAACGAGUGUGAGAGUGGAAAGUUCACCCUGUGACGGUAUCUUACCAGAAAGGGACGGCUAACUACGUG